rnacentral:rRNA from 1 species
UAGCCGUAAACGAUACUCGCUAGGUGUCGGCCACGGUGCGACCGUUGUCGGUGCCGUAGGGAAGCCGUGAAGCGAGCCACCUGGGAAGUACGGCCGCAAGGCUGAAACUUAAAGGAAUUGGCGGGGGAGGCACAACAACGGGUGGGAGCUUGCGGUUUAAUUGGACUCAACGCCGGGAAGCUCACCGGAUAAGACAGCGGAAUGAUUGCCGGGCUGAAGACCCUGCAUGACCAGCUGAGAGGAGGUGCAUGGCGUAGUCGUGU